rnacentral:rRNA from 1 species
CCAGCUCCAAUAGCGUAUAUUAAAGUUGUUGUGGUUAAAAAGCUCGUAGUUGGAUCUCGGCGGACAGAAGUCGGUCCGAAUGCUUUCGGUACUGGCUUGUUUGUCCGUGUGUUUUGCCAGAGGCAGGCGGGUGCUCUUCGCCGAGUGUCCGUCUGUGCUGGCAGGUUUACUUUGAAAAAAUUAGAGUGCUCAAAGCAAGCUCUCACGCUUGAAUAUUCGUGCAUGGAAUAAUAGAAUAGGAUGUCGUUUCUAUUUUGUUGGUUUUCGGAAAUCGACAUAAUGAUUAAUAGGGACAGUCGGGGGCAUUUGUAUUCAAACGACAGAGGUGAAAUUCUUGGACCGCUUGAAGACAAACUACUGCGAAAGCAUUUGCCAAGAAUGUUUUCAUUAAUCAAGAACGAAAGUUAGAGGUUCGAAGGCGAUUAGAUACCGCCCUAGUUCUAACCAUAAACGAUGCCAGCUAGCGAUCUGCAGGCGUUUUACUUUACGACCUUGCAGGGAGCUUCCGGGAAACCAAAGCUUGUGGGUUCCAGGGGAAGUAUGGUUGCAAAGCUGAAACUUAAAGGAAUUGACGGAAGGGCACCACCAGGAGUGGAGCCUGCGGCUUAAUUCGACUCAAC